rnacentral:rRNA from 1 species
GAUGAACGCUAGCGAUAGGCUUAACACAUGCAAGUCGAGGGGCAGCAUACUGGUAGCAAUACUGGAGAUGGCGACCGGCGCACGGGUGAGUAACGCGUAUGCAACCUACCUUCUACAGAGGGAUAGCCCGGAGAAAUCCGGAUUAAUACCUCAUAACACAGGGCCCCCGCAUGGGGAUAUUAGUUAAAGAAAUUCGGUAGAAGAUGGGCAUGCGUUCCAUUAGGCAG